rnacentral:rRNA from 1 species
CCUACGGGUGGCUGCAGUGAGGAAUAUUGGUCAAUGGACGCAAAUCUGAACCAGCCAUGCCGCGUGCAGGAAGACGGCUCUAUGAGUUGUAAACUGCUUUUGUACGAGGGUAAAUCCCGAUACGUGUAGCGGGUUGAAAGUAUCGUACGAUUACGGAUCGGCUAACUCUGUGCCAGCAGCCGCGGUAAUACGGAGGAUUCAAGCGUUAUCCGGAUUUAUUGGGUUUAGAGGGUGCGUAGGCGGUUCGUUAAGUUAGAGGUGAAAUCCGAGGGCUCAACUAUGGUACUGCCUCUGAUACUGUCAGUCUAGAGUAUAGGUGCGGUAGGUGGAAUGUAUGGUGUAGCGGUGAAAUGCAUAGAGAUCAUACGGAACACCGAUUGCGAAGGCAGCUUACCAGACUACGACUGACGUUGAUGCGCGAAAGCGUGGGGAGCAAACAGGAUUAGAUACCCUUGUAGUC